rnacentral:rRNA from 1 species
UGAGAGGAUGAUCAGCCACACUGGAACUGCGACACGGUCCAGACUCCUACGGGAGGCAGCAGUGGGGAAUAUUGGACAAUGGGGGAAACCCUGAUCCAGCAAUGCCGCGUGGGUGAUGAAGGCCUUCGGGUUGUAAAGCCCUUUCGGCGGGGACGAUGAUGACGGUACCCGCAGAAGAAGCCCCGGCUAACUUCGUGCCAGCAGCCGCGGUAAUAUGAAGGGGGCUAGCAUUGUUCGGAAUUACUGGGCGUAAAGGGCGCGUAGGCGGCCUUGCGCGUCGUGCGUGAAAGGCCUGGGCUCGACCCAGGAAUGGCGCUCGAUACGGCAUGGCUAGAGUGCAGGAGAGGAUGGUGGAAUUCCCAGUGUAGAGGUGAAAUUCGUAGAUAUUGGGAAGAACACCGGUGGCGAAGGCGGCCAUCUGGACUGCAACUGACGCUGAGGCGCGAAAGCGUGGGGAGCAAACAGGAUUAGAUACCCUGGUAGUCCACGCUGUAAACGAUGUGCGCUAGACGUUGGUGGACCUAGUUCGCCAGCGUCGAAGCUAACGCAUUAAGCGCACCGCCUGGGGAGUACGGCCGCAAGGUUAAAACUCAAAGGAAUUGACGGAAUCGA